rnacentral:lncRNA from 1 species
AAAAAAAAAAACAAUUACAAAUAUAUAAGAAGAUGAAGAGAACGAGAGAACAUAGAUAAGAGGAAGGCGAAGUGGGUUGACCUGUGAUGGUGCUGAGUAGGUGAAGCCAACAGAGAGCUUGACCGAGACGAGUGUGCCGCGCCUCCACCUCCGCUUCAGCGCCUCCUUCGCCACAGCUCCUGCGCUUCACUGUCGUCGUUUUCCUCAAAGCCAUGAACUUCGUUUUUGUCUUCUUCCACCCAAACUUCAUGUUCAUGUAGGGACAAAGAAGAAAAAGACACAAGUGAUGAGAGAUUGAGAGAUAAACAAUGUAGAUAAAGAAAAAGACACAAGUGAGGAUAGAUUGAGCUUGGUUUUACCAAUUUCGUCCAGAGAUUGAGAGAAGCUAUGGAGAGAUUGAGAGAUUAAGAUGAGAGAUCGAGAGGAGAGAAAAAAAAAAGAUGAAAAUGAAGAUAUGGUCCAUUCGAUUAAAGUGUAAUCCAAUGGACAUGAAUGAAUAUUUGUCAAUCCUUGCGUGAAAGUAGCAGCCAAUGAGAUUUUUUACAAAUUUGUUUUUAUUUUUUUGUUGUCAUAACGUAUGACAAGAGAGCGCAGAACGAGAGAACAGAGAUAAGAGGAAGGCGAAGUGGGUUGACCUGUGAAGGUGGUGAGUAGGUGAAGCCAACAGAGAGCUUGACCGAGACGAGUCUGCCGCGCCUCCACCUCCGCUUCAGCGCCUCCUUCGCCACAGCUCCUGCGCUUCACUGUCGUCGUUUUCCUCAAAGCCAUGAACUUCGUUUUUGUCUUCUUCCACCCAAACUUCAUGUUCAUGUAGGGACAAAGAAGAAGAAGACACAAGUGAUGAGAGAUUGAGAGAUAAACAAUGUAGAUAAAGAAAAAGACACAAGUGAGGAUAGAUUGAGCUUGGUUUUACCAAUUUCGUCCAGAGAUUGAGAGAAGCUAUGGAGAGAUUGAGAGAUUAAGAUGAGAGAUCGAGAGGAGAGAAAAAAAAAAGAUGAAAAUGAAGAUAUGGUCCAUUCGAUUAAAGUGUAAUCCAAUGGACAA